ACCAUAAAGAAAUGAAGGGCCUAAAUCAUAAAUAACCCAUCAACUUGAAAUCAAACAAAAACCCCCCUUUUUAAACCCUAAAAAGAACAUUUUCUUUCUUUCUUUGACAUUGCGCCGUAAUGCUCUCCUUCUGCCCUCCUCUGCUCCUAUGGCGAUGAAACAAAGGAGUUUCAACGACAUCACACUGGUAUGUGGAAAAAGCAAGGUGUGCUGAUCGUGGGUGGUUGCUGCGAUGUGAGCAGUUCCUGCGGCAUUCGCGGAGGCUUUUUGCUGCUGCAGUACUGAGGCAAAAGGGCUAGGCUCCUUGAUUCUGUUAUGGGUUUAUUGGGCUAAUAUAAUUGGGUUACAAUUUGGGCUUGUAACAUUUGUAAUUGGGCCACGUAAAUUAAGAUUUUAAAUGGACUGGGGACCUUUGUUUAUUUAAGCCCGGGCUAAAUUGGGUAUUAUAGCUGCCCCUCUUUGCUCGUUGUCGUGUAACGAGAACAGGGCAAAGACUUUAAGAUAGCCAAUUUUGCCCGGGCAUACUGGACCUUAGCACUACUCAAGUAGCCUCAUUCCAACCUACUGCGUCUUCAGAGGUAUAGGAAUCGGUGUUUUAAUCCACUCCACUGCAACAUCAAGGAGAUAGGACUUGUACCCUGUAACUUCUUAAAAGAACAAAAUUUGCUAUCUUUAGUCUGCUCCAUUGCAACUUCAGGGAGAUAUGACUUGUAGCCAUGAAAAUAUGAAACAUUAUGUGAUAUUGUAUUAUGGUAGCCAUCGAAAUUAUAGGGAAAAAAGUUAUGAAAAAAAGCUUGAAUUGAAUUUAAUAUUCUUUCCAUCGUUCA